ACCAGGGACUCAUCACCUGUUCGUCGUACGCUACCACCACCCUCUUAUGAUAGAAUUAGUGAUGACCCAAGAAGAUCUCCCAGUAGUCGUCGUAGCCAGAGUCGUGAAUAUUCUGAUAAAGAGUAUUCAGACAGAGACAAAGAUCGGGAUCGGGAUUUGGACCGUGAAAGAGACCGAGAGAGGGAACGUGAUCGGGAUAGGGAUAGGGAACGUGAAAGAGACUGGUACAGGGACCUCGAACGAGAGCAAGAGCGGGGCCGAGACAGAGACCGGGACAGGGAGAGGGACAGAGAGAGAAAAUAUGAUUAUGAUCAGAGGUCCAGGUAUUCUGAGAGAGAAAGCAGAAGGGACUAUGAAAGGAGCAGCCGUGAUGGAAGUAGGCACUACAGAGAAAGUAGCUCACGUAGAAGCCAUAGCCGGAGUAGGAGUCGCAGCCGGAGCAGGAGCAGAAGUCGAAGUGUGCAAAUUGGUGUGGCACCAUUUGAUCGUCAUUCCAGUCCAUACAAGGAUGUAAGCAAGGAGAAGACAUCUGCAUCUAGCAAUUUGGCGAAGCUCAAGGAUCUGUAUGGUGACUUAGGUGAUCAGAAAGGGGAUUCUGUUCUGGAAAGAGUACCUCGAAGGGAUAAUGGUGGUGAAGAGGUCAUUAGGCUUGGUGGUUCUACAUG
rnacentral:misc_RNA from 1 species